rnacentral:rRNA from 1 species
GACGAACGCUGGCGGCGUGCCUAAUACAUGCAAGUUGAGCGCUGAAGGUUGGUCCUUGUACCAACUGGAUGAGCAGCGAACGGGUGAGUAACGCGUGGGGAAUCUGCCUUUGAGCGGGGGACAACAUUUGGAAACGAAUGCUAAUACCGCAUAAAAACUUUAAACACAAGUUUUAAGUUUGAAAGAUGCAAUUGCAUCACUCAAAGAUGAUCCCGCGUUGUAUUAGCUAGUUGGUGAGGUAAAGGCUCACCAAGGCGAUGAUACAUAGCCGACCUGAGAGGGUGAUCGGCCACAUUGGGACUGAGACACGGCCCAAACUCCUACGGGAGGCAGCAGUAGGGAAUCUUCGGCAAUGGACGAAAGUCUGACCGAGCAACGCCGCGUGAGUGAAGAAGGUUUUCGGAUCGUAAAACUCUGUUGGUAGAGAAGAACGUUGGUGAGAGUGGAAAGCUCAUCAAGUGACGGUAACUAACCAGAAAGGGACGGCUAACUACGUG